UUCAUUUGGAGCUCCUGCCUCAACAACAGCAGCCAAGUUCCCAGGGGGUGCCAGGGAAAUGACUGAAUGAAGAGUUAAAAGACCCAAGUCUCAUCUCCUGCCACCUUAGAACUCCUCACGGAAGAGAAAAAAUUCUAUAGUGAGAGAAGCUAAACAAUACACAUAUAAACAAGCAAAUACUGCAUGGCGGUAAGCGCCAUGAAGGAAAACAAAACAAGACCGGAGUGCAAUGGCACAACCUUUCCUCACUGCAGCCUUGAUCUCCUGGGCUCAAGCGAUUCCCCCACCUCAGCCUCCCGAGUAGCUGGGAUUUCAGAUGUGCACCACCAUGCCCAGUUACCAUGUGAGGUAAGCAGAGCUGACCUUGACUGGCAUCUCUAUCAGCAGCUCAGUGGGAUUAAAUGGCUUGCCAAUGUCACAAGAUGGAGUUUUGCUCUUGUCACCCAGGCAGAGGUUGCAGUGAGCCAAGAUCACCCCACUGCACUCUAGCCUGGGCAAAAGAGC